AACGAACGCUGGCGGCAUGCCUAACACAUGCAAGUCGAACGACAGCCUUCGGGGGAUAUUGGCUCACGGGUGCGUAACGCGUGGGAAUCUGCCCUUACGUCCGGAUUAACAGCUGGAAACGGCUUCUCAUACCGGAUGAUAUCGCGAGAUCAAAGAUUUCUCACCUGAGGAUGAGCCCGAGUUGGAUUAGUUAGUUGGUGGGGUAAAGCCCUACCAAGCGAACGAUCCAUAGCUGGUCUGAGAGGAGGAUCAGCCACACUGGAACUGAGACACGGCCAAGACUCCUACGCGAGGGAGGAGAGGGGAAUAUUGGAAAAUGGGCGCAAGCAUGAUCCCGCACUGCCGCGUGAGUGAUGAAGGCCGGAGAGUUGUAAAGCUCGUUUACCCGGGAAGAUAAUGACGGUACCGGGAGAAUAAGCCCCGGCUAACUCCGUG
rnacentral:rRNA from 1 species